UUUUCCCGCAAGGACCUUCCGCACAGGUGCUGCAUGGCUGUCGUCAGCUCGUGUCGUGGGAUGUUGGGUUAAGUCCCGCAACGAGCGCAACCCUCGCCUUUAGUUGCCAUCAUUUAGUUGGGCACUCUAGAGGAACUGCCGGUGACAAGCCGGAGGAAGGUGGGGAUGACGUCAAGUCCUCAUGGCCCUUAUGUCCUGGGCUACACACGUGCUACAAUGGUGGUGACAGUGGGAAGCUAGGCGGUGACGCCGUGCUGAUCUCUAAAAGCCAUCUCAGUUCGGAUUGUACUCUGCAACUCGAGUACAUGAAGGUGGAAUCGCUAGUAAUCGUGGAUCAGCAUGCCACGGUGAAUACGUUCCCGGGCCUUGUACACUCCGCCCAAUCGA
rnacentral:rRNA from 1 species